rnacentral:rRNA from 1 species
UGGACUAAAGCCCCCGGAACUUAGCUCCUUUCCGGGAGUGGUAAUACCCGGAAGCGCAAUGCAGCCAGCCCGGACCGAGGACCGUCCUUUGGCUAGGAUGCUGGCGUAAUGGUUCUAAGCAACCCGUAUUGAAACACGGACCAAGGAGUCUAACAUCUAUGCGAGUGUUUGGGUGUCAAACCCAUGCGCCAAUGGAAAUGAAAGGAGGUGGGAACCCUUAAGGGUGCCCCAUCGACCGAUCCUGAUGUCUUUGGAUGGAUUUGAGUAAGAGCAUAGCUGUUGGGACCCGAAAGAUGGUGAACUAUGCCUGAAUAGGGUGAAGCCAGAGGAAACUCUGGUGGAGGCUCGCAGCGGUUCUGACGUGCAAAUCGAUCGUCAAACUUGGGUAUAGGGGCGAAAGAAUAAUCGAACCAUCUAAGUCACUAGAUGGCAUAUACGGGCCAACAAGCCAGAGUAGUCCCACGGUGGGACGACAUUGCCAGUCUUCCGGGGACGCUUUUGGAGAGACCCGCAGUGGGCCACAGCGGUUCAUCACACUUUUUUUUACGGUGGCCGUGCCCGGACGGCGCGCUUAGGAAUAGCCGUUCCCCCCC